rnacentral:rRNA from 1 species
GAUGAACGCUAGCGGCAGGCAUAAUACAUGCAAGUUGAACGGGAUUCAGAUAGCAAUAUUUGAUGAGAGUGGCGCACGGGUGCGUAACACGUAUGCAACUUACCUUAAACUGGGAGAUAGCCCGUGGAAACAUGGAUUAAUAUCCCAUAGUAUAAAGAACAGGCAUUUGUUUUUUAUUAAAGCUCCGGCGGUUUAAGAUGGGCAUGCGCGUCAUUAGCUAGAUGGAGAGGUAGCGGCUCACCAUGGCAACGAUGACUAGGGGGUCUGAGAGGAUGUCCCCCACACUGGUACUGAGACACGGACCAGACUCCUACGGGAGGCAGCAGUAGGGAAUAUUGGGCAAUGGACGCAAGCCUGACCCAGCCAUGCCGCGUGCAGGAAGACGGCCCUCUGGGUUGUAAACUGCUUUUAUCAGGGAAGAAACCCUUCUACGUGUAGGAGGCUGACGGUACCUGAGGAAUAAGGAUCGGCUAACUCCGUGCC